UACGUAGGGGGCUAGCGUUGUCCGGAAUCAUUGGGCGUAAAGCGCGUGUAGGCGGCCCGAUAAGUCCGCUGUGAAAGUCCAGGGCUCAACCCUGGGAUGCCGGUGGAUACUGUCGGGCUCGAGUCCGGAAGAGGCGAGUGGAAUUCCUGGUGUAGCGGUGGAAUGCGUAGAGAUCGGGAAGAACAUCAGUGGCGAAGGCGGUCUGCUGGGCCGUUGCUGACGCUGAGGCGCGACAGCGUGGGGAGCAAACAGG
rnacentral:rRNA from 1 species